GGAGUCUGGGCCGUGUCUCAGUCCCAAUGUGGCCGUUCAACCUCUCAGUCCGGCUACUGAUCGUCGACUUGGUGGGCCGUUACCCCGCCAACUAUCUAAUCAGACGCGAGUCCAUCUUUCAGCGGAUUGCUCCUUUGAUAUCAGUAUCAUGCGGUACCGAUAUGUUAUGCGGUAUUAGCGUUCGUUUCCAAACGUUAUCCCCCUCUGAAAGGCAGGUUACUCACGCGUUACUCACCCGUCCGCCACUAACUUUCAUCCCCGAAGGGAAUCAGUCCGUUCGACUUGCAUGUGUUAGGCACGCCGCCAGCGU
rnacentral:rRNA from 1 species